CAGCCACACGAAGUCAUCUGACCUCUAUAAAAAAUUCAUGCGAAGAGUGGCGCAGAUCAGGGGCUUGGAGGUGCUAGCCUACAAGCAACUUUGAUGGCUGAUUCUUUCUUCUUCUUCAAGCACCUUGGAUGCUCCAAAGGAUGAAAGGAUUUAGAGGAGGAAGAGAGAAAGAGGGGAGGAGCUCUGGAAAAUCAAAAACCAACAAAAGAAAUUGAUGCAUGA
rnacentral:lncRNA from 1 species